rnacentral:misc_RNA from 1 species
CGCUUCGGCGUGGCCAGCCGCCGUGAGGCUGUCUUUUCACUUUUGCUCCCGUWGUGCAUAUCUUGCCCGGGCAGGGCAUUUGUUUUCGGUUGUUUGUGUGGGUCUACCCUUGCGGGGGAACAUCGUUGCGUGUGUGAUGGUUUUUGCUUGCACCGUCGAUACGUUAUCGUCGGUGCAGCCGUUGURUCCGGCGGGUUACUUGCGCGGCAUUUGGUCAUUUGGCCCCGUGCCGCGCAUGUAUUGCGCCGGGCUCUCAUGGAUGCGGUGUUUUGUUUGAGGUCUCCGUGGGCCGUUGGUUCCUCGGUUUUCCUCGGGUUGUCCCAUGUGCGUGCCGUUUCUCCGUCGCUAUGCUCUGCCGCCGCGUAAGUCGGAGCAGUGCGUGCGGGGCGCGGUCUUGUGCAUGCGAGAUGCUUAUCCGUUCGAUUGAGCGAUUGCCGGCUCACGCCGCGUAAGCGGGGUCCCAACUAGAUUGGGGCU